CAGAAAGCGCGCCCCCGGAAGUGAGGGAAUCCGGUGCCGCGCUCUGGGAUGUUCCUCCCGGGGCUGAAUGUGAAUGAUGGCUCGAGAAAAUUCGGCCAGCUGCAGGGUUUUUUUCCGCAAUUCCGUUGGCUGCGGGAAUUUUAACAAAGAUCUAUCACAUCCGUUGGAGUUCAGAUUGACAAAAAAUGGGAACAGCGGUCCUAUAAAAGCUGAGGAGGAUCUAGUGACAUUCCAGCACUUAUUUAAGUGCCAGUUGAUUUCCCAAACAUAUUCAUGUUUGCUUGUUUUCCAGUGCAUAAACCGGUGUUUUGUCUGAGGAUCGUACUGGAAGACCAAGUUUCAUCACAGGUAAUGACUUUAUCUAAAAAUGUGAAUCCUCUUACAGAUGUGUCCACCUACAGCUAGCCUCCCUGCC